rnacentral:lncRNA from 1 species
GGACUUCAAGUUAGAAUAUGGGAGGUAUUUGAUAUUGCUCAUGCAGCACAAUUAUGUCCCACUCCGUUAACUCAAAUCUGAAGUCCAGCGGUGAAAAGUCAGAUUCCAUAGUGGCUAUCUCUCUCGCUCGUGCAGGAAAACUGUGAAAGAAUGAAGAAGAGAAGAGCACAUAGUGAAAGGAGAAAAUUAAAACUUUACAAGAUUUAUGUCUCAUUCUGUCAGGAGAUUUUAAAUAACCUCAGACCUCAACGGGAUCUCCAAAAGCCACCUCCCAUCAGCACAUUAAU